rnacentral:rRNA from 1 species
CCUCACCAGGUCCAGACAGAGUAAGGAUUGACAGAUUGAUAGCUCUUUCUUGAUUCUUUGGGUGGUGGUGCAUGGCCGUUCUUAGUUGGUGGAGUGAUUUGUCUGGUUAAUUCCGUUAACGAACGAGACCUUAACCUGCUAACUAGCUGCUUGGAUAUUGUCCUCGUUUGCUUCUUAGAGGGACUCCUGUGCUUCAAGCGUGGGGGAAGUUUAAGGCAAUAACAGGUCUGUGAUGCCCUUAGAUGUCCUGGGCUGCACGCGCGCUACACUGAUGCAUCCAUCGAGUUUGUCCUGUCCCGAAAGGGUUGGGUAAUCUUUAGUGUGCAUCGUGUCGGGGAUUGAUUUUUGCAAUUCUAAAUCAUGAACGAGGAAUGCCUAGUAUGCGCAAGUCAUCAGCUUGUGCAGAUUACGUCCCUGCCCUUUGUACACCAACACCGCCCGUCGCUCCUA